rnacentral:rRNA from 1 species
GACGAACGCUGGCGGCGGGCUUAACACAUGCAAGUCGUACGGUAAGGCCCUUUCGGGGGUACACGAGUGGCGAACGGGUGAGUAAGACGGGAGUAAACUGCCCACUAUUUUUUUAUAACGCUAGUAAAGUGGUGCUAAUUCUGGAUAUAUGCUACUGCUGCAUGGGGGGGGUGGGAAAGAUCCGGGGGUUGUGCAUGGAUUCGCGGCCUAUCAGCGUGUUAGUGGGGUAGUGGCCUACCAGCGCGGCGAGGGGUAGACGGCCUGUGGGGGUGAGCGGCGGUACUGGGACUGAGAUAAGGCACAGACUCCGAAGGGAGGCAGCAGGGGGGAAUCUUGCACAAUGGGCGCAAGGCUGAUGCAGAAACGCCGCGGGCGGGAUGACCGCCUUGGGGUUGUAAAACGGUUUCAGCAGGGACGAAGGUUUUUGUGACGGUACCUGCAGAAGAAGCACCGGCUAACUACGUG